CUGUACGGCAGGGACACGGACCCGAUGGAGUGUGUACAGAGGAGGGACACAAAAAUGAUCUAAGGGAUGGAAUACCUGCACUGCGAGGACAGGCUGAGGGAGCCGGGGCUGUUCAGCCCGGAGAUGAGAAGGCUCUGGAGAGACCUGAUAGCGGCCUGUCAGUAUCUAACGGGGCUGUAAGAAAGAAGGGGACAGACUGCUUGUCACGGUCUGUUGCGACAGGACAAGGGGAAAUCGUUUCAAAACAAAAGAGAGGAGAUUUAGAGUGGAAAUAAGGAAAAAAUGUUUUAGAACAAGGGUAGUGAAGCAGUGGAACAGAAGUCAGAGCCACCACAGCUGUAGUGCUGCCACAGCAGUAGCUGAAGGGAAUGUGCAUGGGGCAGGAGGGAGAGGAGUCAAACACAGCCUUGCAUGAUACAGCACAGCAUCUUUCAGCUGCACGCCUGGUAACGUGAGCGAAGCCUCGUAUGUUCAGUUCCUGCAGACUUGAGGCUGGCAAUCUUCCAGCAGUGGCCAGCGUAGCAGAUGCACCAGAAGCAUCAUUUUUUGUCCCAUUAUUUCUUUGAACAUUGGAAUAAAAGAAAUAAAACCUGUCCCAUUGCUGCUACUCCUGUCUUGGAGCUGCUCAUCCUUGCACAAAAUAAAUAUUUUUUCCCCUUCGUAAUGAAUCCUGUUUUACAUCAGCCCAUCCUAGGAGUGCUUUCUGUCUUGUCUCCCCAGUACUGUAUACAAGGCACAGUCUGACCAGAGGAGAGGACAUCAUUGCUUAAGCCUGAAGUUCUAAGUGGACUUGUUGAAAGACAAAGGAGAGCAGUCUUCAUCCUUGGGAGGGGCAGAAUAUAUGACUUCCAUGUCACUGUACCAC
rnacentral:lncRNA from 1 species